rnacentral:ncRNA from 1 species
CAGAUCCACAAGGGGAGCUAUAUGCUGAGAGUGGACGGGUAUUUCGUCCAGACCCUUUGAACCUGUUAGUUAAUGCUAGCGUAGGGAUGUGGAAGUAACUGAUC